UUUAGAUGACCUGCGUGCUGAUUGGUUGGUUUACAACGAGCGAAGCUCCGGAGCAAAGACGCAAACAUGGCCGACAGCACUCACUGAAACAGCCAAGGUGGAAAUACUAUGGAGACAUAGGUGUUGAACAGCAUAUUUGAGCCUGAAUCAGAGGAAGAAUCUGAAAUAGAGCAGCAACCAGUCGCCCAUAGAUUGGAAAUGACUACUUCAGAGUGGUUAUUAAAAGAAUGACCCAGGUUCCUGAGGAGCUGACCUGAAUGACCAUUAUGGCCUCAAUCCGUUGUGCCUCUAUAUUCUUUGCAAAAUGCAAUGAAUAUUUACAGAGCUGACCAUGGCCGUUUGAGUAUAUAUCAGUAUAGAAAAUAAAAUAUCUUUAACCAAUACACAUUCAUUAUUGGUUCAGCAUAUUGCAAAAAAAAAACGUUUGAUCAACACCACAAAAUGAUCAACUUUAUUUUUUUUUUCAACAAUCGUGAUACUCUGAUGUAAAAUGUAAAAAAAUAAAUAGUAAAAAAAUUUGCUUUUCCACCCUGUUCUCGUUGCAGGCAAUGAAGUGACUUGGCCUACAGGUCUUUUGUGAGCAGGAGCUGGGGUUUCCUUAGAAGAAGCGUCCGUGUCAUGAUCCCCUUGUGUGUGGUGCUACGCAUAUGGAGGGAGCUUCCGGAUACUUCAGGGCAGUACGUUGGAUUCAGACCCCUUUUCGACUGAACCGUGACACAUGUUCAGCAACAGCAUCCUCCAUGGAAGGUCUGUCAAGCUGAGCACACAAGUCCUGGGGCACAGGAAUCCGCUGGACGGCAUCCCAAUAAGGAAGAGGGUCUUUGAUGAUCUCGAAGAGGACAAGAAAGAGGACUUAUAUUGGAUACUGUAAUACAGUGCAUUGUAGGCUGUAUACUGUACAAUAAACAAAUUGUAUGGCCCUGAA